rnacentral:rRNA from 2 species
AUUGAACGCUGGCGGCAUGCCUUACACAUGCAAGUCGAACGGUAACAGGUCUUCGGAUGCUGACGAGUGGCGAACGGGUGAGUAAUACAUCGGAACGUGCCCGAUCGUGGGGGAUAACGAGGCGAAAGCUUUGCUAAUACCGCAUACGAUCUACGGAUGAAAGCGGGGGAUCUUCGGACCUCGCGCGGACGGAGCGGCCGAUGGCAGAUUAGGUAGUUGGUGGGAUAAAAGCUUACCAAGCCGACGAUCUGUAGCUGGUCUGAGAGGAUGAUCAGCCACACUGGGACUGAGACACGGCCCAGACUCCUACGGGAGGCAGCAGUGGGGAAUUUUGGACAAUGGGCGAAAGCCUGAUCCAGCCAUGCCGCGUGCAGGAUGAAGGCCUUCGGGUUGUAAACUGCUUUUGUACGGAACGAAAAGCCUCUUUCUAAUAAAGAGGGGUCAUGACGGUACCGUAAGAAUAAGCACCGGCUAACUACGUGCCAGCCGCCGCGGUAA